UUUCUUUUGUCAUUAGGCAUAAAUUCCUUCCAAAGAAGGCAAUCUAUGUUACUUUUCUCAAAAAUUGCCAAUCACUAAAGCUAUACAUGAUGCUAUGCAAGAGUAAUCUCAACCAGUUUUUUAAAAGCCAGACCAGAACAGCUGGUUGGACCAGGUAAAAUAGAAAGUGGACUACAAUUGGUUUGGUUUAGUCUUUUAUUUUAUUUUAUUGUUUAUUUUCUUACUCUUUUACCUUAAAAAUAUCUAAAAAUCAAUUUCCUCAACUUUAAAUUUUAUUUGACCAUUUUUUUACCGAGCUGAACCAGUUGACACUGACUGGUCCUAUUUUAAAAACACAGAUCUGAGUUCAAUGCAACUCAACUAAGCUUUAAUCCCAAUCUAGUUAGGAUUGGCCACAUGGAUUAUUUUUCCCCAUUCAACCCAAUUAUUGGUAACAUCCAAAGAAAGGUGUAGUGAUAGAAGACCCCUUCUACUAUUCUAUGUAGUGAUAGAAGACCCUUUCUACUAUUCUAUGUAAGAGUAAUGUAAUAGAAAAAAAAUUGUAAAUACAAUAAUAGUUAUACUAAAGAUUAUAAAGCCUUGGUGUCUGUGGUAGUAUUGAAGCACCUAAAUAGAGAAGGAAACUGUUAAGGUAACCAGAGUGGUAGCGAAUUCGUUUGGUUGAACAAUGAAAAUAAGGGGAUAAUUUUCCUUCUAGAGUCUGAUGCUAUUGUUGAUUGUAUAAAUGAAAUGAGAAUUUCAUAAAAUAAAUGAAGCUGUGGUUUUCAAAUUGAUUGCAGUGCAAUCAUGAAACGGCUUAUCCACUUGCAUAGCGAUGGACAACGGUGCCCAACUUGACGAUAGACAAUGCAAUCGCACACGACUAUCACAGCUAUAUUUAUGUGUCAUUAUGAAUCUAUGAGACUGAGGAUGUUGGUUGUCCAUGUUUAAUUGUUUGUUAGUUCAUUUGGUUGUAAAGAACCACAUAUUGUGAGAGUUUCACAAUCCCUAUGUUUUUGAGAGAGGAAAGUUGGGGGAAAGAAAAGGGAAGGAGGAAGAUUUAGAACCAUUCCUUGAACAUUUCCUUUGUAUAGACUUAUAGGAGGAGCUUGUGUUCAAAUUUACUGUAACAACUGAUGGAGGAUUUUGAGUGCAGAGAGCCUAAAGAUCCUAAAAGGACCAUAGUUCAAGAAGAAAGAAGGAAUUCAUUUAAAUAGCAGUGUCUGAUUCCAAGUCAGCAGUAUUAGGCUAUGGCUAAGUUUUCUCACUUCAUGCACGAGCACAGCAGUCAGGGAAGGAAAUAAAGUGAGCUUAAUUUAAUUUGUAUAGCGUCAACUAUUAAGGGAUUGCUCAACCUAAAAGUUCUAUUUUGAAGAUGAUGGCCAAGGAUUAGGUUUAUUUCUCUUGUUCUAUCCCUUGCAUAAAAUUUU
rnacentral:misc_RNA from 1 species